AUACGGAGGGUGCAAGCGUUGUUCGGAAUCACUGGGCGUAAAGGGCGCGCAGGCGGUUUGGUAAGUCAGAUGUGAAAGCCCACGGCUCAACCGUGGAAGUGCAUUUGAAACUGCCAGACUUGAGUACCAGAGGUGAAAGUGGAAUUCCCGGUGUAGAGGUGAAAUUCGUAGAUAUCGGGAGGAAUACCGGUGGCGAAGGCGACUUUCUGGCUGGAUACUGACGCUGAGGCGCGAAAGCGUGGGGAGCAAACAGGAUUAGAAACCCUAGUAGUCC
rnacentral:rRNA from 1 species